UGGGGAAUAUUGGACAAUGGGGGCAACCCUGAUCCAGCCAUGCCGCGUGAGUGAAGAAGGCCUUAGGGUUGUAAAGCUCUUUCACCCGUGACGAUGAUGACGGUAGCGGGAGAAGAAGCCCCGGCUAACUCCGUGCCAGCAGCCGCGGUAAGACGGAGGGGGCUAGCGUUGUUCGGAAUUACUGGGCGUAAAGCGCGCGUAGGCGGCUGUUCAAGUCGGGGGUGAAAGGCCUGGGCUCAACCUGGGAACUGCCUUCGAGACUGGAUGGCUUGAGUUCGGGAGAGGUGAGUGGAAUUCCCAGUGUAGAGGUGAAAUUCGUAGAUAUUGGGAAGAACACCGGUGGCGAAGGCGGCUCACUGGCCCGUAACUGACGCUGAGGCGCGAAAGCGUGGGGAGCAAACAGGAUUAGAUACCCCCGUAGUCC
rnacentral:rRNA from 1 species